rnacentral:rRNA from 1 species
GUACACGCUGUGACUAGCAUAUCAAUAAGCGGAGGAAAAGAAACUAACAAGGAUUCCCCUAGUAACGGCGAGUGAAGCGGGAAGAGCUCAAAUUUGAAAUCUUAAAGGGUUUCCCUUUACGAAUUGUAGUUUAAAGAAGUGUUUUCUGUUGAGGUUUUGGUAAAAGUUCUUUGGAAUAGGACAUCAUAGAGGGUGAGAAUCCCGUAUUUGACCUUUACUUUCAACUUUGUGAUACACUUUCAAAGAGUCGGAUUGUUUGGGAAUGCAGUCCAAAAUGGGUGGUAAAUUUCAUCUAAAGCUAAAUAUUGGCGAGAGACCGAUAGCGAACAAGUACCGUGAGGGAAAGAUGAAAAGAACUUUGAAAAGAGAGUUAAACAGUACGUGAAAUUGUCAAAAGGGAAGCGUUUGACACCAGUGUUGUUUUUCUGAAAAUCAAUUAAAGAACUGUUUAUGCUAAGUUGUUUAGACUUUAUCAGCUAACUGUUUAGUUUUGAGCUUUUCUUUAAUGCACUUUUCAGUUAACAAGUCAACAUCAAUUUCUUUCGCUGUAAAAAAGCUUGAGGAAGGUGGCUUGAGAUUCGUCUUAAGUGUUUAUAGCCUCUUGCCUAUGCAGUCGGAGAGAUUGAGGUCUGCAGCGUAGAUCCUUCGGGGCUAAAUGCAUUUGUGCUAAGUUAUAGCAUUUUAUAGACAACUUGUUGACUAUGAUUUGUCUUGUAGCUUACUCGCUUAUGUUAUUUUACCUACGCUUAGGAUGUUGAAGAUGUAGCACAUCAU